rnacentral:pre_miRNA from 1 species
GGCCUCCCUCUGCGGGGCAACCGAUCUGGGGGCCCCGCGAUUGAUCGCCCUGCAGAGGGAGGCU